rnacentral:tRNA from 1 species
GCCGGUGUAGCACAAUGGUAGUGCACCUGAUUUGUAAUCAGGGGGUUGCGGGUUCAAGUCCUGUCGCCGGCUC